GCGCUAGUGGUUUAGUGGUAAAAUCCCAGUUUCCCAUACUGGGGCCCCGGGUUCGAUUCCCGGCUGGCGCA
rfam:Kluyveromyces marxianus DMKT3-1042 DNA, complete genome, chromosome 3.